UAUAUCUUCUGAAUUCAUAGGUCAUUAGAUAUAUAGCAGCCUUUAAUAUUUGAUCUCUCUGCAUUGCUUCCUGUGUUAAAUACUUUCCGUUAGGUUAUAGUUCAGCUUAGUGCAUAAUUUGAAAUGUAAAAUGGGUUCCAGUAUGUUGUUCUACAAUAUUUAAGGCAAUUGUUUUGUAUUCCUCUCGGGGUUCUCCAAAUCUCUAAUGUUGAAAUAUAAAAUUUUCAUGUGAUUUGGAGGACAUCCCGAGUGGAACAAGAAAGCUGUUGUCUAUGUUAUUGCAAGAUUCAUCUACCCUAUCAUUUUGUGGAAAAGGGUUGUAUCCAAAACAAUGGAAGAUUUCAUAAUAAAACCAGCCAACAAAAAGAAGAGAGUCAUUAAAGAGAGUGCAAGUUUCUAACAACAGAGAAAGCAACACAUUAUAGCGACUGCAUGAUUAUAACUCUUUGUUUUCAGGUAAUUUUGGGUCUUCUUGCUUUGCACAUAUUGCCAACUAAUAUUUUCUUUCAAAUCUCAGCUCAGGUUCAAGGCAAUCAAUUUUGUUGGCAAUCGCCCUCUUCUCUAUGUAUAUGAUAAAUAAUUGUAAACAAACAUUUAUAUUAAAACAAAAUACAUAGAGUGGACUUGCAUUCUAAUUGUUUUUA